rnacentral:rRNA from 1 species
UGGAGAGUUUGAUCCUGGCUCAGGACGAACGCUGGCGCGCUGUGCUUAACACAUGCAAGUCGAACGGAAAGGCCUCUUCGGAGGUACUCGAGUGGCGAACGGGUGAGUAACACGUGGGCAAUCUGCCCUGCACUUCGGGAUAAGCCUGGGAAACUGGGUCUAAUACCGGAUAGGACCUCAAGACGCAUGUCUUCUGGUGGAAAGCUUUUGCGGUGUGGGAUGGGCCCGCGGCCUAUCAGCUUGUUGGUGGGGUGACGGCCUACCAAGGCGACGACGGGUAGCCGGCCUGAGAGGGUGUCCGGCCACACUGGGACUGAGAUACGGCCCACGACUCCUACGGGAGGCAGCAGUGGGGAAUAUUGCACAAUGGGCGCAAGCCUGAUGCAGCGACGGCCGCGUGGGGGAUGACGGCCUUCGGGUUGUAAACCUCUUUCACCAUCCACGAAGGUCCGGGUUUUCUCGGAUUGACGGUAUGGUGGAGAAGAAGCACCGGCCAACUACGUGCCAGCAGCCGCGGUA